rnacentral:rRNA from 1 species
AUGGCGGCUCAGACCUGCGGGCUCCAUGAUCACCACGGCGCUGCUUCCUGGCCUUGCCGCUGGCAGUCACCGUACCCUCACCGGAUUGUCGACCCCACAACUAACCAUCACCCUCAUCUCAUUAGUUGGCUUCCCUUUACUGGAUCUGAAUUUUUUUGGUUGGUUUGCAAAGUGCAGAUGUGUGACCUCCUCUAUGAUGAAGGCAUCGAGGAGAUUAACUUUUGCUUCUCAAGCUUUGUUUUAGUUGAGAUGUUUAAGCAAUAUUGGUCACUUCCAAGUAUCUAUACUAAAGGUUGCAGUACAACACUAGCUGGUUACAAUUUUGUAGAUUUCCUUUUACCCUUAGUUUGUGCUCCCUCCGAUCCAAAUAUAAGUGUCGCAGCUUUGAACUAA